AACCAUAGAAACCUGCGGAGUACCUGCGGAAGGAUCAUUAACAAUUGUCCACGUUUUUCAUGGAUAAUUAUAUCCAUAUCCACCUUGUGUGAAUCAUUGACGUGUCUGUUGGCAGGUUAGGCCGAAGAGGCCGUGGGUUGAGACUUUGCUGUCAGUGCUCAGCCUGCCAAUUUUAUUUGUAUAAACGUGUCUACAAUACAUAUGACUGAAAUUGAUAUAUUUAUAAUAAAUACAACUUUC
rnacentral:misc_RNA from 1 species